AUUGAACGCUGGCGGCAGGCCUAACACAUGCAAGUCGAGCGAGCGGCGGACGGGGGAGUAAUGUAUGGGGACUGCCCGAUAGAGGGGGAUAACUACUGGAAAAGGUAUCUCAUACCGCAUACUACAGGAUAACCCCCAUGGGAUUAGCUAGUAGGGGGGGUAAUGGCUCACCUAGGCGACGAUCCCUAGCUGGUCUGAGAGGAUGAUCAGCCACACUGGGACUGAGACACGGUCCAGACUCCUACGGAGGCAGCAGUGGGGAAUAUUGCACAAUGGGCGCAAGCCUGAUGCAGCCAUGCCGCGUGUAUGAAGAAGGCCUUAGGGUUGUAAAGUACUUUCAGUCGGGAGGCGUUACCGACAGAAGAAGCACCGGCUAACUCCGUGCCAGCAGCCGCGGUAAUUC
rnacentral:rRNA from 1 species